rnacentral:rRNA from 1 species
CCUACGGGGGGCAGCAGUGAGGAAUAUUGGUCAAUGGGCGUAAGCCUGAACCAGCCAAGUCGCGUGAGGGAUGAAGGUUCUAUGGAUCGUAAACCUCUUUUAUAAGGGAAUAAAGUGCGGGACGUGUCCCGUUUUGUAUGUACCUUAUGAAUAAGGAUCGGCUAACUCCGUGCCAGCAGCCGCGGUAAUACGGAGGAUCCGAGCGUUAUCCGGCUGUAUUGGGUUUAAAGGGUGCGUAGGGGGCCUUUUACGUCAGCGGGGAAAGUCUGUGGAGCAACCAUAGAAUUGCCGUUGAAACUGGGAGGCUUGAGUAUGUUUGAGGCAGGCGGAAGGCGUGGUGUAGCGGUGAAAUGCUUAGAUAUCACGCAGAACCCCGAUUGCGAAGGCAGCCUGCCAAGCCAUGACUGACGCUGAUGCACGAAAGCGUGGGGAUCAAACAGGAUUAGAUACCCCUGUAGUC